UACGGAGGGUGCAAGCGUUAUCCGGAUUCACUGGGUUUAAAGGGUGCGUAGGCGGAUAUGUAAGUCCGUGGUGAAAUCUCUGGGCUUAACCCGGAAACUGCCAUGGAUACUAUGUGUCUUGAAUGUUGUUGAGGUGAGCGGAAUAUGUCAUGUAGCGGUGAAAUGCUUAGAUAUGACACAGAACACCGAUUGCGAAGGCAGCUCGCUAAACUAUAACUGACGCUGAGGCACGAAAGCGUGGGGAGCGAACAGG
rnacentral:rRNA from 1 species